AAAAACAUACUUCUAUGGACAUAUUCGCAUAUUUAUCAAAUAAUUUCUUGAUUUUAUUUUUCUCUAAAUAGCAGUCUCCAAUAAAGAAGAGAAAAUUUAUCGGUUUAAGUCACAAAUUAUUUCAUUUCCAGUCACCACUAAACAUAAAUUACAAAUAAGACGAUAUUAAUAUAUAUGGAUGCGGAUCUCAAGAUAUGCUUUUUUAUUAAU
rnacentral:sRNA from 1 species